AUUGAACGCUGGCGGCAUGCCUUACACAUGCAAGUCGAACGGCAGCACGGGUGCUUGCACCUGGUGGCGAGUGGCGAACGGGUGAGUAAUGCAUCGGAACGUACCCGGAAGUGGGGGAUAACGUAGCGAAAGUUACGCUAAUACCGCAUAUUCUGUGAGCAGGAAAGCAGGGGAUCUUCGGACCUUGCGCUUUCGGAGCGGCCGAUGUCGGAUUAGCUAGUUGGUGAGGUAAAGGCUCACCAAGGCGACGAUCCGCAGCGGGUCUGAGAGGAUGAUCCGCCACACUGGGACUGAGACACGGCCCAGACUCCUACGGGAGGCAGCAGUGGGGAAAUUUGGACAAUGGGGGCAACCCUGAUCCAGCCAUGCCGCGUGAGUGAAGAAGGCCUUCGGGUUGUAAAGCUCUUUUGUCAGGGAAGAAAUGGUCUGGGUUAAUACCCUGGGCAGAUGACGGUACCUGAAGAAUAAGCACCGGCUAACUACGUGCCAGCCGCCGCCGUAA
rnacentral:rRNA from 1 species